rnacentral:pre_miRNA from 8 species
CUGUGUGUGAUGAGCUGGCAGUGUAUUGUUAGCUGGUUGAAUAUGUGAAUGGCAUCAGCUAACAUGCAACUGCUGUCUUAUUGCAUAUACA